rnacentral:rRNA from 1 species
GAUGAACGCUGGCGGCGUGCUUAACACAUGCAAGUCGAACGGAAAGGCCCAAGCUUGCUUGGGUACUCGAGUGGCGAACGGGUGAGUAACACGUGGGGGAACUGCCCUUCACUUCCGGGUAAGCCUUGGGAACUGGGUCUAAUACCGGGUAGGACCACUUCGUAGGUGUUGUUGAGGAAAGUUGUUUCGGUGUGGGGUGAGCUCGGGGCCUAUCAGCGUGUUGGUGGGGUAAUGGCCAACCAAGGCGUCGGCGGGUAGACGGCCUGAGUGCGUGUACGGCCAGAUUGGGACGGAGGUCAGGAGCAGACUACCUCGGGAGGCAGGCGUGGGGCAGAUUGCACAAUGGGCGGAAGGUUAAUGCGGCGACGGGGCGUGAAAGAUGUCUGACUUCGGGAGGUAAACUCCUUACGCCAAAGACGAAGUUAGGACGGUAUUUGGAGAAGAAGCCCCGGCUAACUACGUG